ensembl:lncRNA
GAACUGCCUCCGCCUGGCUGUGAGGUUUCGGGCGUAACAUGUUAACAUCCAGCAAUGUGGAACCUCAAAAAACCUCAAAAGACUGCGUGGUAUAUCGGCAGGGGCCGGGGGAACCUGCAGCCUCCCACGGAUGCGAGGCUUCCCCUUUAAGCACCUGCGCGCGGGCCCGCGGAGGGAGCCCUCCGGAAGUCGCUGCGCGCUGCCACGGAGUCAGAUUCCUCCGCCGAGGGCGGGGUCCGGUCCCGCGUCUCGGCCUCCAGUCUACCUAGGUUUCCUCCGUUCCCCGCCGCCCGCCGGCGUCAGGACUCUCAGCUCGCCGCUUCUGCAGCCAAUAGUGCUGGCGACCCUGCCCACGGGCGCUCGGGCCUCGGCCCGGCCUGGACUGCGGGGGCCGGACGCGCCGCCGCCGCGAUGGAGGCGCCGGCGGUCCUGAUGCAGGACGUCCUGGGGCCGAACCACGCGCUGCGCAGGGAUAAAGGCGCGAUCAUGGACCAAGUUCGGCGGCUGCUGCUGUGCGAGAAGACCGACCUGCUGUCCCAGGCGUGCCCGCCCGCCUGCCCCGUGGCUUUUCCCGACAUCUUCCGAUACUGCGAAGGCUGCUUCAGACCGCCCUGGACGAUCUGGGCCACCUGGGAAGUGCCCGAGCUUGUCACACCCCCGGGGACACCGAUGGAGAGCUGAGGCCCUGAGACGGAUGCCAGGGUUCGCGUGCCUGGCGGCCAAAUAUUGACCCAUUUACUCUAGGAAUCUGUUUUCCACAUACUUUGUUUGUGUUCUGAAACCACAACAGUUUCAGAUAUUGUGCCUUUUAGUCGGAGAAGUCCAGGCUCUGGACAGGACAUUUGAAAAGUACUUCCUUUUAAAAUGUAAAUAUGUAUUUUACGUACUUGGGGUUACAGGAGAAGCAGAUGAGUAAGACCAAGUGUAUCUCCACAGGAACACAAUUGUGAGAAAAAAAAUUCUAAGUGCAUGUUCUGAUGUCGUGUGCAAAGAAUGGCAUAUUGGAUUCUUGUUUUAUGGCCUUUUUUCACUUUUCACCUCAUGGUUUUGAAAUACAUGUUAAUAUGACUGGAAGCCAACACAAUACUGUAAAACAAUCAUUCUCCAAUUAAAAGUAAAUUUAAAAAAAUAAGUACGUGUUAAAAACAUGUGCGUCUUACAAGGAGGCAGAAGACUCAACU